UACGAAGGUGGCGAAUGUUGCUCGGAUUCACUGGGCGUAAAGCGUCUGUAGGUGGCUUGUUAAGUUAGAGGUGAAAGCCCCGCGCUCAACGUGGGAAUUGCCUUUAAAACUGGCGAGCUUGAGAGUAUCAGAGGUAGGCGGAAUUGCUGGUGUAGAGGUAAAAUUCAUAGAUAUCAGCAGGAACAUCCAUGGCGAAGGCAGCUUACUGGGAUAUAUCUGACACUGAGAGACGACAGCGUGGGGAGCAAACAGG
rnacentral:rRNA from 1 species